rnacentral:rRNA from 1 species
GCAAGUCGAACGGCAGCAUGAUCUACUUGCUAGAUUGAUGGCGAGUGGCGAACGGGUGAGUAAUACAUCGGAACGUGCCCUGUAGUGGGGGAUAACUAGUCGAAAGAUUAGCUAAUACCGCAUACGACCUGAGGGUGAAAGUGGGGGACCGCAAGGCCUCAUGCUAUAGGAGCGGCCGAUGUCUGAUUAGCUAGUUGGUGAGGUAAAGGCUCACCAAGGCGACGAUCAGUAGCUGGUCUGAGAGGACGAUCAGCCACACUGGGACUGAGACACGGCCCAGACUCCUACGGGAGGCAGCAGUGGGGAAUUUUGG